rnacentral:rRNA from 1 species
CCUACGGGUGGCAGCAGUGAGGAAUAUUGGUCAAUGGACGAGAGUCUGAACCAGCCAAGUAGCGUGAAGGAUGACUGCCCUAUGGGUUGUAAACUUCUUUUAUAUGGGAAUAAAAUGUUCCACGUGUGGGAUUUUGUAUGUACCAUAUGAAUAAGGAUCGGCUAACUCCGUGCCAGCAGCCGCGGUAAUACGGAGGAUCCGAGCGUUAUCCGGAUUUAUUGGGUUUAAAGGGAGCGUAGGUGGAUUGUUAAGUCAGUUGUGAAAGUUUGCGGCUCAACCGUAAAAUUGCAGUUGAAACUGGCAGUCUUGAGUACAGUAGAGGUGGGCGGAAUUCGUGGUGUAGCGGUGAAAUGCUUAGAGAUCACGAAGAACUCCGAUUGCGAAGGCAGUUCACUGGACUGCAACUGACACUGAGGCGCGAAAGUGUGGGUAUCAAACAGGAUUAGAUACCCCAGUAGUC